rnacentral:rRNA from 1 species
CCUACGGGUGGCAGCAGUGAGGAAUAUUGGUCAAUGGGCGCGAGCCUGAACCAGCCAAGUAGCGUGAAGGAUGACUGCCCUACGGGUUGUAAACUUCUUUUAUAAAGGAAUAAAGUGAGGCACGUGUGCCUUUUUGUAUGUACUUUAUGAAUAAGGAUCGGCUAACUCCGUGCCAGCAGCCGCGGUAAUACGGAGGAUCCGAGCUUUAUCCGGAUUUAUUGGGUUUAAAGGGAGCGUAGAUGGGUUGUUAAGUCAGUUGUGAAAGUUUGCGGCUCAACCGUAAAAUUGCAAUUGAUACUGGCAGUCUUGAGUACAGUUGAGGUAGGCGGAAUUCGUGGUGUAGCGGUGGAAUGCGUAGAUAUAUGGAAGAACACCAGUGGCGAAGGCGGCUGUCUGGUCUGCAACUGACGCUGAGGCUCGAAAGCAUGGGUAGCGAACAGGAUUAGAUACCCCAGUAGUC